rnacentral:rRNA from 1 species
UUAAGCGACUAAGCGUACACGGUGGAUGCCCUGGCAGUCAGAGGCGAUGAAGGACGUGCUAAUCUGCGAUAAGCGUCGGUGAGGUGAUAUGAACCGUUAUAACCGGCGAUUUCCGAAUGGGGAAACCCAGUGUGUUUCGACACACUAUCAUUAACUGAAUCCAUAGGUUAAUGAGGCGAACCGGGGGAACUGAAACAUCUAAGUACCCCGAGGAAAAGAAAUCAACCGAGAUUCCCCCAGUAGCGGCGAGCGAACGGGGAGGAGCCCAGAGCCUGAAUCAGUGUGUGUGUUAGUGGAAGCGUCUGGAAAGGCGUGCGAUACAGGGUGACAGCCCCGUACACAAAAAUGCACAUAUUGUGAGCUCGAUGAGUAGGGCGGGACACGUGGUAUCCUGUCUGAAUAUGGGGGGACCAUCCUCCAAGGCUAAAUACUCCUGACUGACCGAUAGUGAACCAGUACCGUGAGGGAAAGGCGAAAAGAACCCCGGCGAGGGGAGUGAAAAAGAACCUGAAACCGUGUACGUACAAGCAGUGGGAGCCUCUUAAUGGGGUGACUGCGUACCUUUUGUAUAAUGGGUCAGCGACUUAUAUUCUGUAGCAAGGUUAACCGAAUAGGGGAGCCGAAGGGAAACCGAGUCUUAACUGGGCGUUAAGUUGCAGGGUAUAGACCCGAAACCCGGUGAUCUAGCCAUGGGCAGGUUGAAGGUUGGGUAACACUAACUGGAGGACCGAACCGACUAAUGUUGAAAAAUUAGCGGAUGACUUGUGGCUGGGGGGGAAAGGCCAAUCAAACCGGGAGAUAGCUGGUUCUCCCCGAAAGCUAUUUAGGUAGCGCCUCGUGAAUUCAUCUCCGGGGGUAGAGCACUGUUUCGGCAAGGGGGUCAUCCCGACUUACCAACCCGAUGCAAACUGCGAAUACCGGAGAAUGUUAUCACGGGAGACACACGGCGGGUGCUAACGUCCGUCGUGAAGAGGGAAACAACCCAGACCGCCAGCUAAGGUCCCAAAGUCAUGGUUAAGUGGGAAACGAUGUGGGAAGGCCCAGACAGCCAGGAUGUUGGCUUAGAAGCAGCCAUCAUUUAAAGAAAGCGUAAUAGCUCACUGGUCGAGUCGGCCUGCGCGGAAGAUGUAACGGGGCUAAACCAUGCACCGAAGCUGCGGCAGCGACACUAUGUGUUGUUGGGUAGGGGAGCGUUCUGUAAGCCUGUGAAGGUGGCCUGUGAGGGUUGCUGGAGGUAUCAGAAGUGCGAAUGCUGACAUAAGUAACGAUAAAGCGGGUGAAAAGCCCGCUCGCCGGAAGACCAAGGGUUCCUGUCCAACGUUAAUCGGGGCAGGGUGAGUCGACCCCUAAGGCGAGGCCGAAAGGCGUAGUCGAUGGGAAACAGGUUAAUAUUCCUGUACUUGGUGUUACUGCGAAGGGGGGACGGAGAAGGCUAUGUUGGCCGGGCGACGGUUGUCCCGGUUUAAGCGUGUAGGCUGGUUUUCCAGGCAAAUCCGGAAAACCAAGGCUGAGGCGUGAUGACGAGGCACUACGGUGCUGAAGCGACAAAUGCCCUGCUUCCAGGAAAAGCCUCUAAGCAUCAGGUAACAUCAAAUCGUACCCCAAACCGACACAGGUGGUCAGGUAGAGAAUACCAAGGCGCUUGAGAGAACUCGGGUGAAGGAACUAGGCAAAAUGGUGCCGUAACUUCGGGAGAAGGCACGCUGAUAUGUAGGUGAAGCGACUUGCUCGUGGAGCUGAAAUCAGUCGAAGAUACCAGCUGGCUGCAACUGUUUAUUAAAAACACAGCACUGUGCAAACACGAAAGUGGACGUAUACGGUGUGACGCCUGCCCGGUGCCGGAAGGUUAAUUGAUGGGGUUAGCGGCAACGCGAAGCUCUUGAUCGAAGCCCCGGUAAACGGCGGCCGUAACUAUAACGGUCCUAAGGUAGCGAAAUUCCUUGUCGGGUAAGUUCCGACCUGCACGAAUGGCGUAAUGAUGGCCAGGCUGUCUCCACCCGAGACUCAGUGAAAUUGAACUCGCUGUGAAGAUGCAGUGUACCCGCGGCAAGACGGAAAGACCCCGUGAACCUUUACUAUAGCUUGACACUGAACAUUGAGCCUUGAUGUGUAGGAUAGGUGGGAGGCUUUGAAGUGUGGACGCCAGUCUGCAUGGAGCCGACCUUGAAAUACCACCCUUUAAUGUUUGAUGUUCUAACGUUGGCCCGUAAUCCGGGUUGCGGACAGUGUCUGGUGGGUAGUUUGACUGGGGCGGUCUCCUCCUAAAGAGUAACGGAGGAGCACGAAGGUUGGCUAAUCCUGGUCGGACAUCAGGAGGUUAGUGCAAUGGCAUAAGCCAGCUUGACUGCGAGCGUGACGGCGCGAGCAGGUGCGAAAGCAGGUCAUAGUGAUCCGGUGGUUCUGAAUGGAAGGGCCAUCGCUCAACGGAUAAAAGGUACUCCGGGGAUAACAGGCUGAUACCGCCCAAGAGUUCAUAUCGACGGCGGUGUUUGGCACCUCGAUGUCGGCUCAUCACAUCCUGGGGCUGAAGUAGGUCCCAAGGGUAUGGCUGUUCGCCAUUUAAAGUGGUACGCGAGCUGGGUUUAGAACGUCGUGAGACAGUUCGGUCCCUAUCUGCCGUGGGCGCUGGAGAACUGAGGGGGGCUGCUCCUAGUACGAGAGGACCGGAGUGGACGCAUCACUGGUGUUCGGGUUGUCAUGCCAAUGGCACUGCCCGGUAGCUAAAUGCGGAAGAGAUAAGUGCUGAAAGCAUCUAAGCACGAAACUUGCCCCGAGAUGAGUUCUCCCUGAGACUUAGAGUCUCCUGAAGGAACGUUGAAGACGACGACGUUGAUAGGCCGGGUGUGUAAGCGCAGCGAUGCGUUGAGCUAACCGGUACUAAUGAACCGUGAGGCUUAACCUU